rnacentral:rRNA from 1 species
GACGGAGGAUGCAAGUGUUAUCCGGAAUCACUGGGCGUAAAGCGUCUGUAGGUGGUCAAAUAAGUCAACUGUUAAAUCUUGAGGCUUAACCUCAAAAUCGCAGUCGAAACUAUUAGACUAGAGUAUAGUAGGGGUAAAGGGAAUUUCCAGUGGAGCGGUGAAAUGCGUAGAGAUUGGAAAGAACACCGAUGGCGAAGGCACUUUACUGGGCUAUUACUAACACUCAGAGACGAAAGCUAGGGUAGCAAUGGG